rnacentral:rRNA from 1 species
GUAACCUGGUUGAUCCUGCCAGUAGUCAUAUGCUUGUCUCAAAGAUUAAGCCAUGCAUGUUUCAGUAUAAGCUUUAAUUUGGCAAAACUGCAAAUGGCUCAUUAAAACAGUUAUAAUGCACUUGAUGGUUGUUUGCUUACAUGGAUAACUGUGGUAAUCCUAUAGCUAAUACAUGCACUCAAACCUGACUCUUG